AACGAACACUGGCGGCAGGCUUAACACAUGCAAGUCGAGCGCCCCGCAAGGGGAGCGGCAGACGGGUGAGUAACGCGUGGGAAUCUACCCAUCUCUACGGAAUAACGCAUGGAAACGGGUGCUAAUACCGUAUACGUCCUUCGGGAGAAAGAUUUAUCGGAGAUGGAUGAGCCCGCGUUGGAUUAGCUAGUUGGUGGGGUAAAGGCCUACCAAGGCGACGAUCCAUAGCUGGUCUGAGAGGAUGAUCAGCCACACUGGGACUGAGACACGGCCCAGACUCCUACGGGAGGCAGCAGUGGGGAAUAUUGGACAAUGGGCGCAAGCCUGAUCCAGCCAUGCCGCGUGAGUGAUGAAGGCCCUAGGGUUGUAAAGCUCUUUCACCGGUGAAGAUAAUGACGGUAACCGGAGAAGAAGCCCCGGCUAACUUCGCGCCAGCCGCCGCAGUAACAC
rnacentral:rRNA from 1 species